AGAGCGAACGCUGGCGGCAGGCCUAACACAUGCAAGUCGAACGGACCCUUCGGGGUUAGUGGCGGACGGGUGAGUAACACGUGGGAACGUGCCUUUAGGUUCGGAAUAGCUCCUGGAAACGGGUGGUAAUGCCGAAUGUGCCCUUCGGGGGAAAGAUUUAUCGCCUUUAGAGCGGCCCGCGUCUGAUUAGCUUGUUGGUGAGGUAAUGGCUCACCAAGGCUACGAUCAGUAGCUGGUCUGAGAGGAUGACCAGCCACAUUGGGACUGAGACACGGCCCAAACUCCUACGGGAGGCAGCAGUGGGGAAUCUUGCGCAAUGGGCGAAAGCCUGACGCAGCCAUGCCGCGUGUAUGAUGAAGGUCUUAGGAUUGUAAAAAUACUUUCACCGGUGAAGAUAAUGACUGUAGCCGGAGAAGAAGCCCCGGCUAAACUUCGUGCCAGCAGCCGC
rnacentral:rRNA from 1 species